GGGCGGGCGGCGGGGCGGGCGCGGGUCUGCAUCCGGGUCGCCGCCGUGCCCAUUGUCUGGGGAAGGGGCCCGGGGCUCGGCGGCGCUGCACCCGAGGGCCCCUGCCCGCCCGCCGCCCACCCGCGCAGGCUUUAUGGACCGCAGUUCGAAGAGGAGACAGGUGAAGCCUUUGGCAGCUUCGCUGCUGGAAGCUUUAGAUUAUGAUAGCUCUGAUGACAGUGAUUUUAAAGUUGGAGAUGCUUCAGAUUCUGAAGGAAGUGGUCAUGGGAGUGAAGAUGCAUCUAAGGACAGUGGUGAAGGUUCCUGUACUGAGUCAGAAGAAAAUAUCUUGGAGGAGGAACCGGCAGAAGAGAAAGUAGAAGAGCAACAGGCGAAAACCUCCACUGAAGAAGAAGUGCCAACAGCAGACAAAGAGGUAAUUAAAACUGAAAAGAAAGAGCAAGAAGAUGAAGAAGAAAAGCCAAAAAAGAAGAAAGAGAAGGAGAAAGCAGCUGAACCUGAUGCUGUUGCUGAUGAGCAAACAAAUGAACCAAAAAAAUGGAAUUUGCGCAGGAACCGACCUCUGCUGGAUUUUGUAUCGAUGGAAGAACUAAAUGAUAUGGAUGACUAUGACAGUGAAGAUGACAAUGACUGGCGGCCUACUGCUGAGAAGAAAAAAGGAAAGAACGCACUGAGAAAAGAGGGGAGUGAUGGAGAUAAUGAAGAUGAUGAAGAUGAUGGGAGUGGAAGUGAUGAGGAUGACAAUGAUGAGGAAGGUAAUGAAGAAGAUAAUAGCAGCACGGCUAGCGAUGGAGGAUCCAAGAAGAAGAAGAGUAAAGUUCUUAACAGGAAUAAUGCAGAUGAUGAGGAAUUGACAAAUGAUAGCCUGGCUCUUUCACAAAGCAAGAGUAAUGAGGACUCAUUGAUCCUUGAGAAGUCUCAAAAUUGGAGUUCCCAGAAAAUGGACCAUAUUUUGAUUUGUUGCGUUUGUCUUGGAGAUAACAGUGAAGAUGCUGAUGAAAUAAUCCAGUGUGACAACUGUGGAAUAACAGUGCAUGAAGGCUGCUAUGGUGUUGAUGGGGAGAGUGACUCUAUCAUGAGUUCAGCUUCAGAAAAUUCCACAGAGCCUUGGUUUUGUGAUGCCUGCAAAUGUGGUGUCACACCUAGCUGUGAAUUGUGUCCCAACCAGGAUGGGAUCUUCAAGGAGACUGAUGCAGGCAGGUGGGUCCACAUAGUUUGUGCCCUCUAUGUUCCAGGAGUGGCAUUUGGAGAUAUUGACAAGCUGCGGCCAGUAACACUAACAGAAAUGAAUUACUCCAAGUAUGGUGCAAAGGAGUGCAGCUUUUGUGAAGAUCCUCGUUUUGCCAGAACUGGUGUAUGCAUUAGUUGUGAUGCUGGGAUGUGCAGAGCUUAUUUCCAUGUGACCUGUGCUCAGAAGGAAGGCCUCCUCUCAGAAGCAGCAGCGGAAGAGGAUAUAGCUGACCCUUUUUUUGCUUAUUGUAAACAGCAUGCAGACAGGUUAGACAGAAAAUGGAAGCGGAAGAACUACUUGGCUUUACAAUCUUACUGUAAAAUGUCCUUGCAGGAAAGAGAAAAACAGCUUUCACCAGAAGCUCAGGCUCGAAUCAAUGCCAGGCUCCAGCAGUAUCGUGCCAAGGCGGAGCUGGCACGCACCACCAGGCCCCAGGCCUGGGUUCCCAGGGAGAAGCUGCCCCGGCCGCUCACGAGCAGCGCUUCAGCCAUACGGAAGCUCAUGCGCAAAGCCGAGUUGAUGGGAAUUAGCACAGACAUUUUUCCAGUGGACACUUCAGAUACGAGUUCCAGUGUUGAUGGAAGAAGAAAACAUAAACAACCAGCUCUCACUGCUGACUUUGUGAAUUAUUACCUUGAGAGAAAUAUGCGCAUGAUUCAAAUCCAGGAGAACAUGGCUGAACAGAAGAAUAUCAAGGAUAAGUUAGAAAAUGAGCAAGAAAAGCUUCAUGUGGAGUAUAAUAAGCUGUGUGAGUCCUUAGAAGAGCUACAAAAUAUGAAUGGAAAACUGCGAAAUGAAGGGCAAGGCAUUUGGGCUCUGCUGGGUAGAAUCAUUGGACAGAAACUGAACAUCCCAGCAAUUUUACGGGCUCCUAAGGAGAGGAAACCAAGUAAAAAGGAAGGAGGAACACAAAAGGCAUCUACACUUCCGGCAGUACUUUAUAGUUGUGGAAUUUGCAAGAAGAACCAUGAUCAACACCUACUGCUACUGUGUGACACUUGUAAACUCCAUUAUCAUCUUGGUUGCCUGGAUCCACCUCUUACAAGGAUGCCAAGAAAGACCAAGAACAGUUAUUGGCAAUGCUCGGAGUGUGACCAGGCAGGUAGCAGUGAUAUGGAGGCUGAUAUUGCCAUGGAAACCUUACCAGAUGGGACCAAAAGAUCAAGGAGGCAAAUUAAGGAACCAGUGAAAUUUGUUCCUCAGGAUGUGCCAACAGAACCGAAGAAAAUUCCAAUCAGAAACACGAGAACUAGAGGACGAAAACGAAGCUUUGUGCCUGAAGAAGAAAAACCUGAGGAACGUAUUCCCAGGGAACGAAGGCAACGACAGUCUGUGCUGCAAAAGAAGCCCAAGUCAGAGGAUUUAAGGACUGAGUGUGCUACCUGCAAAGGCACUGGAGACAAUGAAAAUCUAGUCAGAUGUGAUGAAUGCAGGCUUUGCUACCAUUUUGGCUGUCUAGACCCUCCCUUGAAAAAGUCUCCUAAACAGACUGGCUAUGGAUGGAUUUGUCAGGAAUGUGACUCAACAUCCUCCAAAGACUCCGAGCCGUCAAAUGAGGUGGUCUCAGAGGCCCCAGGUAACGUGGUACCCUCUACCUCAAGAAGUAGCUCUGAAGAGCUGGUAUCGGUGGCACAGAAACGUCCAGAAGAGUUUCAUGGAUUGUGACUAAAUAUAGGAGUUCAGUAUUACAGCAAAUGUAAAGUCAUUUCUACAACAUUUACUUAUAUCACAUUUUGGAAAAUAAAUGACAAAAUGAAGGAGAGCCAGCUGAACCUGUAAAACAAUGGUUGGGUUUCAAGCACCACCUGCCCUGAAGAGGAUCCCAACUGUAGUGGCAGUCAGCCAAAGGGACCACUCAGUGGAAUGGUUGCCUCCUGAAAAGGAGAGGAACAGAUGGAAGAUUUGAAAUCUGGCAUGAAAUUCCACUUCUGUACUAAGCAUUAAAUGAAAUUUGACUGUAAGGGCUCUUGCGAUGGUACAUUUAUCUGUAUAAUCAGAAUUAGCAACAAGGAAAUAGAAAAUACAGAACACUGACAAGCAUUUCAAAAAAACUUUAAAGUUCUUGUAGCAGUGUGAGUUAAAGGAAAGAGUUUGUGAUAAACAUGCAGCUGCUUGUAGCUUCUUAAAGAGGAGCUUUAGUGUCAAAGUCGUUCUGCUGGUCUUGCAUUGCCACCUAGAGCUCAGCAGUUUGUACUGCUCGGUAAGAAAACACUGCAGCAUUGCUCUUUUCACUGAACAAAGUGGGGUGGAGAGCUGCUUCCAGUUAAUUGAUGUCGUGUUUGCUUGCAUUGUAAUGGUUAGUCCCUUCUUAGCCUGCAUUUUAUAGUGUACCAGAUCAGCAGAGAUUGUGCUGUAGGACUUUGGUUGGCUUUGACAGUAAGAAUUAAUGGCAAUGCACAUUAAAAGGUACAACUGUCAGAUAUCCAGUGGUCCCAAAGGGGGCAUUUUCUUGAUGGCUGCUUUAGAAUUCUUCAUGAAGCAAAUGUCAAACUUGUCAAGGCUGUCACUAUGAAAAUGAUCCAUGUAGCAAGGGUCUCCUUUUCUUGGGAAACAAACAGCUGUCUUAUCACUGCAGAGCUGUGGUGACAAAAAACUGUCACUUAUCGCAAGAAAUUUGUAUUUGCUUCUAAUAUCCAUUGGUAAAAAAAAACAUUCCAUUUGUUCUUUACUUUUGCACCACUGUUCAUUACAAGGGUUGUCAGUAAUACCACUGAAGAAGAUAACAUAGGCUUUGGAAUAAAAAUAACUUUUGAAUUUUA